CAGCCCGGGCCUGAAUCCGCCACUGCAGUGUAUUGUAUACGUUACGAAAUAAAAUUUCUGUUCUGUUCAUAACCCAAAUAUGGAAAUAAAACGUGUUCACACUCUAGACUAAGAGGCUACAGUUUUGAUCCAAAUAUGCUUGAAAUUGGUCAGAAAGGUUGUUUUGAUAAUUUCUAUAUUAAAUUUGAAUAUGCUGGUCUUCUGUGGUCAAAAAUUCGGUCACGCAGACGAAAUAAAAUGGUAUUGAGUCUGCAUUAUCAGGUGAGAUAUAUAAAGGCCAUCUUGGCCUUCUUUACCUAGUUUUUGCAGAUUAGGUACGAAAAUAUGUAGUACGAAUUUAUGUACGUUACUUCCCUUUAAUAUGUAAACCAUUUGCAACUCCACACGAUUCAAAACUUUGCAUGAAAAUCAUUUGAAUGAAGGACCAGACAGGAUUUAACUCACCGAAACCACUUCCCUCUGCGGGGAUUUAACCCUUUCUACAGCCAUUCUGUGGCGAUGACGUGAAUGUAUUCGAGAAAAACAACACCAGGUGAAUUCAAGCAUGGCAAUGUACAGUAAUAUAACAUACUAUGCUGAAAAGUGGCAGAAGAUGUCUGUGAAUAUUAGUGAACAGAUUUAUAUUCUACAGAGUGGAGACCUUGCUGUAAUAGACAAGGAGGAAAUUUCAACAUUAAGUCAAGUAUUCUCAUUUCUGGACAAUAUGGCCUGCACUUGGCUAAACCUGGUGAAAGAUGUAGAUAUGAACAUCUUCACUAGCUUCAGUACUGAGGAUGAACUAGAAUAUUAUUUCUUAUACACCAAGAUAAUGUCA